CAUUUCUACUUAUUGCAACUGUACUCCUCUGAUUCUCCAUAAAUAUACUUGUAAGUUAUGUCUUGUUGAACAAGUUCAGUAAAUCAUGGAGGAGCAAUAGAUAUUUACUUGUCUCUAUUUUUCAUGUCUAUGAUCAUUAACUGAAUAUUGUUGUAAGCAUAUCCUUAUUGUUUUCAGUUGGCAUUCGUUGGUAGCUGGUAAGGUUCCAUUUUACGCUGAACCACAAAUUAGACUACAUUACAACACUUUUUUAGUGGAAAAUAAAUAUAUAUAUUUUCUGAAUUAUGCAGUGUUUCCAUUACUUCCUAUUGAAAUCUACUGAAUGGGCUGACAAGUGGACUUUUCAUUGAAUGUAUAGUAAUGUUUCCCAACUAUGCUAAAGUUGUAUUUUUCCAAUAUUACCUUAGGGCAUGAAUUUACAAAAAUGUUAGAAUUGAAUAGUUAUAAAAGGAUUGUACAAAAAACUUUAAAGACAAAGACGUUAUAAGUUUAUAUGAAGCUACAACUCCUGUCGAUAUUUUUCUCUUCUGAGAUUUGAUAUGAAGCUUCAGUUCCUAUACUAAAUACAAUUCAUUUCUUCUUCUGCUUUUCCGAGACAUUAUGUGAAGCAACCCAUCGCAACUUGCAACAUCACCUAAUUCAUGCCCUUUGUGAAUUCAAGUUUGUUAGUGAGCGACUCCAUUUAAUAUUUUGUAUCAUGCACUAGGUUCAUAAACACUGGAUGCAUGUUGCUCUCCUGUAGAUUGGUCCAUUGACUAAACCAUUUGCUCUUCGAUGUUCCAGGUUUGUUGUCUAUAAAAGAAGAUCCAUGCUUGGAGUUGCAAGAGGUCCUAAUUAACCUUGUAGAUUUUACAACUGGAUGCCCAGGCCUUAAAUAGUAACAAAGGGCAUAGCAGCACAAGAACACAGAUGUAUUGGAUAGCUUCUGCUUUCGACUUUCCUGUUCAUUUCAUUAGCACUUUAACUUACUGAGGGAGGUGAAGUGAAGGCAGCUCUGUGUGCAAAAAUAAAACACACCUUUGGGUGCAAAUAAUGUACUGAUGAAUUUUUCAAUGUAACUCAUAAUGGCCUCGUUUUACAAUUGAAGUUGGGCGUAUUAAUCAUUAUCUGUAAUAAAUUAGGUUUCUGAGUUGUGUGGA